CCAUUAAAGCGGUACGCGAGCUGGGUUCAGAACGUCGUGAGACAGUUCGGUCCCUAUCCGUCGUGGGCGUAGGAAAUUUGAGAGGAGCUGUCCUUAGUACGAGAGGACCGGGAUGGACAUACCUCUGGUGUACCAGUUGUCGUGCCAACGGCAUAGCUGGGUAGCUAUGUGUGGACGGGAUAAGUGCUGAAAGCAUCUAAGCAUGAAGCCCCCCUCAAGAUGAGAUUUCCCAACUUCGGUUAUAAGAUCCCUCAAAGAUGAUGAGGUUAAUAGGUUCGAGGUGGAAGCAUGGUGACAUGUGGAGCUGACGAAUACUAAUCGAUCGAAGACUUAAUCAA
rnacentral:rRNA from 1 species